rnacentral:rRNA from 1 species
GUUGACCUCGGAUCAGGUAGGAAUACCCGCUGAACUUAAGACAUAUCAUAAGCGG